rnacentral:lncRNA from 1 species
GUCAUGCCACUCACCCUCUUUUUGAGCAGCUCUGGCCGUCAGUGAAGCGCAGAUUAUUUGCGACUGACGCCAAUCGUGCCUUUCAUUUAUUAGACCAACCGAGCAUUUCUUCCCCUCCUUCUGUUUUAGUCACUCCCUUGUCCAUUCGGAGUCCUUCUCCUUCUCGUCGCACUAAACAGUCUGCUCGUCCAUCUUCUUCUCUCCCUGCCAAGCCUACUACGGCCAAGAGUGCCCC